rnacentral:tRNA from 1 species
UGUGACGUGGUCGAGUGAUUUAGGCACUUGACUUAAAAUUCACAGGUCGUGGGUUCGAUCCCCACACGACACCA